GUUGAUUCCUGUGACUGAAGUCACAGGCCUGGCAAAAAUACAAAUGAUUGGCAUUCAGGAAAAGUUCAAAUAUUCCAGGCAUUAGAAAUCUUCAACUAUAUAUAUCCACAUAUAUUUUAAUAAAUUUUUGUUUUAAAACAUAGUAACAAUUCAUAAUUAAUAUAUAUUUGAUAAUUUCAAAUCUCAUGUUAACAUAUCAUACUUACUUACAAAAUAUGAAUGUAAUCUCAGUGUAUAGAAAAUUUGACUUUUAAUAAUGCGUAUCAUUGGAAAAGACAUGGUUCAAUUUAGGCUUACUAGUAUAGCCUUGAAUUUCAACUUUAUCAAAAUAUUUCAAAUAGCCAUGAUUUUGUUCUUAAGGAUGUACUUAGGUGAGGUUAGGUGAAAAUUAAUAAAUGAAGAAGUUAAAAUUGAUACUAUAAGCUGAUAGAGCAUCAAUCAAGGAUAAAAAUAAGCUAACAAUAUUGAAAGGUCAUGGUCCACCUUUUUGAGAUAUUUGAGAUAUAAAAUAUGGCGGGAAAAGGCUGACUCGGACUUUUACCUUAUAUUUGCAUUGGUAUUAUUGGGUCUUAAAACAAAGGAAACAAAAUCAAGAAUCUUCUAAAAUUUUGGUAAAUGACCUUUCAUGAGCUAUCAAGUCUUAUAUGAAAAAAUAAAUGGUGUUAUGGGGCAAAAAAAUGUACCAGGUAUUGAAUGGAAAAACACCAAGGAGUCCGAACAUUUGACACAAAUUCCAAAACCUCACCUAAGUACAUCCUUAAAUAGAUUUAUCAAUUUCCAAAAAAAUCCAAAAUCUCAAUAAAGUACCUCCUUUAGUUUAGCAUGAACUAUUCAACUAAGUAAUUACAAAUUAAAUCAAGAAAAUAAAGAAAUUGAAUUACAUUGUAUAUAAAUAAAAGACAAAUAUUUGGUAAUACAUAAACAUUAUUAAGAUGAAAGUACAAUUACAAUCUUUAACCAGAUGCUCCGCAGGGCGUAGCUUUAUACGACCGCAGAGGUUGAACCCUGAACGGUUGGGGCAAGUAUGGACACAACAUUCAAGCUGGAUUCAGCUCUAAAUUUGGAUUGUGAUUAAAUAGUUG
rnacentral:lncRNA from 1 species